GCUGGGCGUGGUGGCGGGCGCCUGUAGUCCCAGCUACUCGGGAGGCUGAGGCAGGAGAAUCACUUGAACCCGGGAGGCAGAGGUUGCAGUGAGCUGAGAUCGCAUCACUGCACUCCAGCCUGGGCAACAGAGUGAGACUCUGUCUCCA
rnacentral:SRP_RNA from 1 species